AAAGGCCUUAACUGCAAAUGAUGUGAAGAAUCUCAUCCGAAUCAUUCCGAAAGAGGGAGCAAUGCAUUUCAAGCAGAGUGCCGGACCCUGGCUUUCUGGCAAGACUAUCUUCAGGAUGCUGAAAUUGAAAACAAUGUCUCUCUGGAGGAUGUUCUUGUUUUCUUCACUGGAUGUGACAACAUUCCAGCACUGGGUUUCUCUCCAAAGCCAAGACUUGAGUUCAUUACCUGUUCCCGAUUUCCAGUGGCCAAUACUUUUGAAAAUAUUCUACGCAUACCAGUUCAUGCAGUGUACACUGCUUUCAGAUCUGACAUGGAUUUUGCAAAACACAAUUCACCAGGAUUUGGAAGAGCGUGAGAGGUAAUAUUUUCGAGGCAUGUAGAGCUUGAGUUAUGUUAGAUUGUUUAUGCUACUGAUGUUAUUUCACUUUGUUAUUCAUUGAUACCAACAUUAUGUAUUUACUGUACAACACAUGAAAAAACAAUAAAAGAAAUCAAAGUUCUUCAUUA